rnacentral:rRNA from 1 species
GAUGAACGCUGACAGAAUGCUUAACACAUGCAAGUCUUUGGCGAAGCUGUGCUUGCACAGCCUAGCCAAGGCGGACGGGUGAGUAACGCGUAAGGAACUUGCCCUGCAGUCAUGGAUAACAGACUGAAACGACUGAUAAGACCUGGUAAAGUCAGGCGGACUCAUGUCCAGCCUGAUGAAAAGAGAUGCUGCAGGAGAGCCUUGCGUCCUAUUAGCGUGUUGGUGGUGUAACGGCCCAACAAGGCGAUGAUAGGUAGCCGGCCUGAGAGGGUGGACGGACACUAGGGGACUGAGAUACGGCACUUACUCCUGCGGGAGGGAGCAGUGGGGAAUAGUGGAAAAUGGGGACAACCGUGAUCGAGAAAUUCUGUGUGCAAGAUGAAGGUUUUCGGAGUGUAAAGUGCUUUCAGCAGGGAAGAAAAAAAUGACGGUACCUGCAGAAGAAGCGACGGCUAAAUACGUG